GAUGAACGCUGGCGGCGUGCCUAAUACAUGCAAGUCGAGCGAACAGACGAGGAGCUUGCUCCUCUGACGUUAGCGGCGGACGGGUGAGUAACACGUGGAUAACCUACCUAUAAGACUGGGAUAACUUCGGGAAACCGGAGCUAAUACCGGAUAAUAUAUUAAACCGCAUGGUUCAAUAGUGAAAGACGGUUUUGCUGUCACUUAUAGAUGGAUCCGCGCCGCAUUAGCUAGUUGGUAAGGUAACGGCUUACCAAGGCAACGAUGCGUAGCCGACCUGAGAGGGUGAUCGGCCACACUGGAACUGAGACACGGUCCAGACUCCUACGGGAGGCAGCAGUAGGGAAUCUUCCGCAAUGGGCGAAAGCCUGACGGAGCAACGCCGCGUGAAUGAUGAAGGUCUUCGGAUCGUAAAACUCUGUUAUUAGGGAAGAACAAAUGUGUAAGUAACUAUGCACGUCUUGACGGUACCUAAUCAGAAAGCCACGGCUAACUACGUG
rnacentral:rRNA from 1 species